rnacentral:rRNA from 1 species
AUUGAACGCUGGCGGCAGGCCUACCACAUGCAAGUCGAGCGCGCGGCGGACGGGUGCGUAAUGUCUGGGGAACUGCCCGAUGGAGGGGGAUAACUACUGGAAACGGUAGCUAAUACCGCAUACCAUCAGAUGUGCCCAGAUGGGAUUAGCUAGUAGGUGGGGUAACGGCUCACCUAGGCGAAGAUCCCUAGCUGGUCUGAGAGGAUGACCAGCCACACUGGAAAUGAGACACGGGCAAGACUCCUACGGGAGGCAGCAGUGGGGAAUAUUGCACAAUGGGCGCAAGCCUGAUGAAGCCAGGCCGCGUGUGUGAAGAAGGCCUUAGGGUUGUAAAGCACUUUCAGCGGGGAGGCGUUACCCGCAGAAGAAGCACCGGCUAACUCCGUGCCAGCAGCCGCGGUAAUAC